rnacentral:lncRNA from 1 species
GUUGAUCUAAGUAUCAUCUCUGGAUGAUCCUCCCAUCAACCCUCGUUGAUCUAAGUAUUAACCCUCGUUGAUCUAAGAAUCAUCUCUGGAUGAUCCUUCCAUCAUCUCUUGAUGAUCCUCCCAUCAACACUCGUUGAUCCAUCAUCUCUUGAUGAUCCUCCCAUCAACACUCGUUGAUCCUUCUAUCAUCUCUUGAUGAUCCUCCCAUCAACACUCGUUGAUCCUUCUAUCAUCUCUUGAUGAUCCUCCCAUCAACACUCGUUGAUCCUUUCAUCAUCUCUUGAUGAUCCUCCCAUCAACACUCGUUGAUCCAAGUAUCAUCUCUUGAUGAUCCUCCCAUCAACCCUCGUUGAUCCAAGUAUCAACCCUCGUUGAUAAAGAAAACAACAGAUUUAACCGUUUCAGAGGUGUCUGUUUGGGAUUUCAAAUUGAUAAGAAACAGAUGUACAAGUGGGGAAUAAGGAGGAGAUGUAUCUGACCAUUGGCAGGUCAAAAUCUUAAAUAAAAAGAUAACAAUUUUUGGUUCGUGGAGGGAUGGGAGAUGGCACGGGAUUGGUUCAGAUUUUUUCUUGGCCCGGCUCUUCUUCCCUCCAGACUCUGUGUCUUGUUUCUCUCUGAUUCUUGCUGUUUCCUAGGCUUCUUGCAUACCACAAAGAGGAUCAAUUUGGAAGUAUCAACUUGUGCUUACUUUAAUAUGCGUCUUGCAUAUGAGCCAUUAGUGCAAACCAAGAAUAGAGUCACAGACUUUAAUAUGCUUCUUGCAUGUGCAUCAUCUAAGAGAAUCACAAACCAGACAUUGAGAUUUUACUGACGAAACAAAGGUACUGAUUAUGUUUCAUCAACCAGUGAGAGGUUGAAUGUAAGACCUGAAGAGUUGUAAAGAGUUUGGUCCCUGUAUCUUGUAAUGAUAAUUCUUUAAUGGAUUAGUCUUUUGUUUGUGAUAUGAAGAUCUUUGUGGAUGGGAUCUGUCCUAAUUGCUUUUGCAUAAUAUUUUGGAAUACACACGAGUUAUUAGGAAAGGUAAUCUACCAGCUCAAAAGUGGAAGAUCAGCAAAGUCUUUUAUGUCUUAUCAAGAGCAGCAAAGUCGAGAUAUAUAAUUUGUUUUGUAUCGUGUAUUCUUGUGGGUAAUGAGUGAGUCUGGCACUCAAUAAUCAAUCAGUACAACGUGUAUUCAUGGCUA